rnacentral:pre_miRNA from 1 species
GAAAGCGGUAUUCUCCAGUAAUGACAUAGUAUAUGAAUUUGUUAUUGCUUGAGAAUACAACUUGC